rnacentral:rRNA from 1 species
GACGAACGCUGGCGGCGUGCUUAACACAUGCAAGUCGAACGGGAAGAGAUGAAGAGCUUGCUCUUUAUCAAAUCCAGUGGCAAACGGGUGAGUAACACGUAAACAACCUGCCUUCAGGAUGGGGACAACAGACGGAAACGACUGCUAAUACCGAAUACGUUCCACGGGCCGCAUGACCUGUGGAAGAAAGGGUAGCCUCUACCAGUAAGCUAUCGCCUGAAGAGGGGUUUGCGUCUGAUUAGGCAGUUGGUGGGGUAACGGCCCACCAAACCAACGAUCAGUAGCCGGUCUGAGAGGAUGAACGGCCACACUGGAACUGAGACACGGUCCAGACUCCUACGGGAGGCAGCAGUGGGGAAUCUUCCGCAAUGGACGAAAGUCUGACGGAGCAACGCCGCGUGAGUGAAGACGGCCUUCGGGUUGUAAAGCUCUGUGAUCCGGGACGAAAGAGCCUGAGGUAAAUAGCCUAAGGAAGUGACGGUACCGGAAAAGCAAGCCACGGCUAACUACGUGCCAGCAGCCGCGGUAAUACGUAGGUGGCAAGCGUUGUCCGGAAUUAUUGGGCGUAAAGCGCGCGCAGGCGGCUUACUAAGUCCAUCUUAAAAGUGCGGGGCUUAACCCCGUGAUGGGAUGGAAACUGGAAAGCUGGAGUAUCGGAGAGGAAAGUGGAAUUCCUAGUGUAGCGGUGAAAUGCGUAGAGAUUAGGAAGAACACCGGUGGCGAAGGCGACUUUCUGGACGAAAACUGACGCUGAGGCGCGAAAGCGUGGGGAGCAAACAGG